GAUGAAGAACGCAGUGAAAUGCGAUAAGUAGUGUGAAUUGCAGAAUUCAGUGAAUCAUCGAAUCUUUGAACGCACAUUGCGCCCUUUGGUAUUCCAAAGGGCAUGCCUGUUCGAGCGUCAUUUGUACCCUUAAGCUUUGCUUGGUGUUGGGCGUCUUGUCUCUAGCUUUGCUGGAGACUCGCCUUAAAGUAAUUGGCAGCCGGCCUACUGGUUUCGGAGCGCAGCACAAGUCGCACUCUCUAUCAGCAAAGGUCUAGCAUCCAUUAAGCCUUUUUUUCAACUUUUGACCUCGGAUCAGGUAGGGAUACCCGCUGAACUUAAGCAUAUCAAUAAGCGGAGGA
rnacentral:misc_RNA from 1 species